rnacentral:lncRNA from 1 species
GAAGUGCGCUUCGUGCGAGCCGGGCUGAGUCGCGGGCCUCUUUGUGAGGCGCAGUGGGGGUUAAGUGCUGUGCGGUGCAGGUACAGGUACAGGAGCGUCUCAGCUGAAAGAGCCGUUCAAAGAGGCCUGGGUCUAUUCUGUUCACGGGAGCUCUGUACGGAUUUGCACCGAAACACUGACACUGUGGAUGAUGAGUGCUGCGAUACUGCGAUAGAUGACGAUCCAGAUUGUGAUGAAGGAAGACGAAGUAAAGCCAGAAGCAGCGGCUUCGUCGGCCUCGUUCCCUAUGAAAGCACAUGCUUUACGUCUGGAGGAGAAGCUUCUGCAAACAAGACGUUUAACAGGGCUGUAAUCCUGCAUUAGCUAAUGUUGUGCCCUGAGUGUCUCACGUACCUGUGCUGUCAGUCACUCGGAAUAUAAAUGUCUGUUGAACUCCACAGGGACGGAAAUGGGGGGUCAGGUUGCACUAAAAUGUGCUCAUAGUACAAAGAGCAAGCUCAUUGUUGGAUGUAGAGAUAAUAGUUGAACCGUGCUAUUAAAAACAGAUCUCCUAAAACAAC